GCUGGGUGUGGUGGUGCACGCCUGUAAUUCCAUCUGCUUGGAAGGCUGAGGCAGGAGAAUCGCUUGAACCUGGGAGGCGGAGGUUGCAGUGAGCUGAGAUUGCACCACUGCACUCCAGCCUGGGUGACAGAGUGAGACUCUGUCUCCA
ensembl:misc_RNA Metazoa_SRP Metazoan signal recognition particle RNA